UGCAUGUGAAAGUAUAAAGUCCAAGAAGGAUGAAACUGCGAACGGCUCAUUAGAACAGUUAUAGUUUCUUCGAAUAGUAAGUACAAGGAUAGCUUUGUGAAUGAUAAAGAUAAUACUUGAGACGAUCUUGGAUGUAGAGACACAUUCAGGCCUUUGCAUCAUAAAAUGGUGUGAAGAGAAAGGAUAUCCAAACUGAAAGUGGGUAUCAUGACAAUUGUAGAAUAGCGAUAUUUAACAAGUAAUCGAUGAGAAUAUCUGAUCUAUCAACUAGUUGGUAGUAUCGAGGACUACGAAGGUUAUAACGGAUAACGAGGAAUUAGGGUUUGAUAUCGGAGAGGGAGCUUUCAAGAUGGCUACCACUUCCAAGGAAGGCAGCAGCCGCGUAAAUUACCCAAUUACAACAGAUAGAAGAGGUAGUGACGACAAAUAACUCACGACAUGCGUAAGCAUGUCUUGAAGGAAUGAGUAAGAAGCAAAGAGUCUUACGAAAUCAAUUGGAGGGCAAGUCUGGUGCCAGCAGCCGCGGUAAUUCCAGCUCC
rnacentral:rRNA from 1 species